rnacentral:rRNA from 1 species
UACGUAGGGUGCGAGCGUUAAUCGGAAUUACUGGGCGUAAAGUGUGCGCAGGCGGCAGAGCAAGUCGAGUGUGAAAGCCCCGGGCUUAACUUGGGAAUUGCGCUCGAAACUACUUUGCUGGAGUGUGGCAGAGGAAGGUGGAAUUCCACGUGUAGCAGUGAAAUGCGUAGAGAUGUGGAGGAAUACCGAUGGCGAAGGCAGCCUCCUGGGCCAACACUGACGCUCAUGCACGAAAGCGUGGGGAGCAAACAGG